AGCAGCCGCGGUAAUUCCAGCUCCAAUAGCGUAUAUUAAAGUUGUUGCAGUUAAAAAGCUCGUAGUUGAAUUUCGGGGUUAGUAGGUUGGUCAUGCCUCUGGUAUGUACUGGUCUCACUGAUUCCUCCUUCCUGAUGAACCUUAAUGCCAUUAAUUUGGUGUUUUGGGGAAUUUGGACUGUUACUUUGAAAAAAUUAGAGUGUUUAAAGCAAGCUAACGCUUGAAUACAUUAGCAUGGAAUAAUGAAACAGGACGUUCGAUCCUAUUUUGUUGGUUUCUAGGAUUGACGUAAUGAUUAAUAGGGAUAGUUGGGGGCAUUAGUAUUCAAUUGUCAGAGGUGAAAUUCUUGGAUUUAUUGAAGACUAACUACUGCGAAAGCAUUUGCCAAGGAUGUUUUCAUUAAUCAAGAACGAAAGUUAGGGGAUCGAAGACGAUCAGAUACCGUCGUAGUCUUAACCAUAAACUAUGCCGACUAGGGA
rnacentral:rRNA from 1 species